GUAUUAUUUGUUAUAUAUUGGUAAGGAAUCUGAUAGUUGUCACUAGAUGGUUAGAAUUAUUCCCGCUAGAUGGGGCGAGUGAAUUUGUUAUUGGAGAAAUUUGACAUUUGUUUCUGAAAGACUGAAACACUGAGAUGAAUGUGUACUUUGAUAUUUUCCAUCGCGAAAAUUAAAAAGAUAAUUAUUGUUUUGAUUCAUUAAGGUUACUUUGAAUGUAAGAUAAUUAUUUGUGAUUUUAUAGGUGAUCCUGUCUAUAAUUUCCACUUGUCUAACCAUCAAGCAUCAACAAUCCCACAACGGGGCCUGAAACUGCUGUAAAUUUUUACUGAAAUGUCUCGUACUAAGCCGCCUGUACCAGUACUACGUCUUAAUCUCAUCCAUUGCAGAACAACAAAUGGCAGCAAUUGAAUACUGUUUUCAUUAAAGCAUUCUUUGAAUAGAUGGCUAUAUACACAUGUUAUUGAUCAAGUUUCAUGGGGGUUGAACAGACUAAUGGAGCUUCUUCAUUGCUGUUUAAUGUGAUGUUUUUGUUGCAGGCAGAUGUUAAAAGAUUUGAAGCACUUUUAACUGAAACUCACAAAGACUAAAGUACACAUAGAAUAACUAAGAAUGAACAAGAAUUUUUAUUUUGGAGGAACUCGCCAAACUCGAAAAUGCAAACACUGAAGUUUGCUAUGUUUAUUGGGCCUGUUAUCUCAAAGAUUCAUUAACAUCCUUGUAUCCGCAAAUUGGAGUGACAUGCGAUGUACGCAUGCAUCUAGAAUCACCGUCCGAAUUCUUCAACCAUAAAGGGGACAAAUCUACGUACCUCAACACUUCCUUAAUAAUCAAUGAAGGC